rnacentral:tRNA from 1 species
CAGGGAGACAACAAAAUGUUUAAUAUUAUUAUUUUGUCACCUUAGGUCGAUCGGUAUCUCACGUUUUUAAUUUAUUAAAAAUUUCAUUUCCUAAGUUUUUCUAGGUCACACCCAUUAUUUUUCCUGGGCCAUUAGCUCAGGUGGUUAGAGCGCACCCCUGAUAAGGGUGAGGUCCCUGGUUCAAGUCCAGGAUGGCCCAUAUCUCUAUGUUGGGGGUAUAGCUCAGUCGGUAGAGCGCCUGCUUUGCAAGCAGGAUGUCAGCGGUUCGAGUCCGCUUACCUCCACUGAUUACCACCUCUUCCAUAAUUGGUAGAAAGGAAAUUUUUGAGUUGUGAUCAAAUUCUGAAAGAAUCUAGCUUCCUAAUGAAAUCAUUAAGAUGCUGGACUCAUUGAAUUAAUUUCAUUGUUUUCAGAGAACCUUGACAACUGCAUAGAUUAUUUUAAAGACAAAAGCAUCUUUAAUGAUGCAGAUUUAUUAUUUGUGCGAAUGCAUUAAUAACAAUUCUAUUAAGCUGAUGCUUCAAUUUUUGAAGUUAUU